rnacentral:RNase_P_RNA from 1 species
GUAGCAGGACGGUCGUGUCGCUUGCCGAUGGGAUAACCGGAGCGGCAAGAGGAAAGUCCGGGCAACACAGAGCGCCAUACUUUCUAACAGUAAGCUGUCGGUGACGGCAGAGUAACGUGACAGAAAAUAACAACCUUUAUUCCUCAUGAUAAAGGAAAUGGUGAAAAGGUGGGGUAAGAGCCCACCGGAUAUCAUGGCGACAUGGUAUGCCGCACGUCUUAUGGGUUGCAAGGCCAUGUAUACCGGCACGUGGAUAGUUUCUUCGAGAAUGCCACAAUGGGCUGCUCGUCCAUCGCCGGGGGGUAGGCUGCUCGAGCGCCGUAGCAUAGCGAGGCGCCACUUAGAUAAAUGACAUGACCGCCGCGGCAACCUUCCUGUGGGAAGAAGUCCCGCGACGACAUAACCCGGCUUAUAGCCCUGCUACCUUU